AAUGAAUGGGCUGGACUACAGAUGAUCCCUCCCAAGCUUAAAAUGGAAGAACUUCUUCAAAGGGUCUGAGGUGCUAGAUGGAUGGUGAGGAGGAAUUGAAACAUCAGUCCAUUCCCACUGGUACCAGCAUGGCAGUGCAGGAGAAGGAACCAGAAGGCAAGAGACCUUCCAGUGCCAGCUUCUCCGAGCUGUGGCCCAGGACGUGAGGACAGCAUUCUCCACAGAGCCUGCCUUGUGCGAAACGAAGAUGCGACUCCUUCCCAAGAUUCAACACAAUACCAAUCAGAAUCCAGCAAGUCAUAUUGUGGAUUUCAACAAACUGAUUCUAAAGCUUGUAUGGAAAAGCAAAACCCCCAGAAUAACCAACACAAUACUGAAGAAGAACAGAGUCAGAAGACUGACACUACCUGACUUCAAGACUUACUGUAAGUCUACAAUGAUCAAGGCAGUAUCAUACUGGUGAAAAAAACAGACAAGUUAAUGGAACAGAAAAGAGAGCCUAGAAAUAGACCCUCACAAACAGUCACGUGGCCUUUGACCAAGGAGCAAAGAUAAUUCAAUGGGUAAAAGACAGUUUUUGCUGCUGGAACAAUUAGACAUACACAGGCAAAAUCAAUGGAUCUAGACACAAGCUUGACACUCUUUGUAGGAAUUGUCUCAAAGUGGAUCACAGACUUAAUUGCAAAACUAUAGAGACUAUAUAGGACAAAAUCUAGGUAGUCUUGGGUUUGGUGAUGACUUUUUAGAUAUACCACCCAAAACAUGACUCAUAAAAGAAAAAAUGGCCUCAUUGGACUUUAAUAAAAUGAACAUUUUUGCUCUGUGAAAGACACUGUUAUGAAAAGGGAAAGACAAGUUAUAGCCUGGGAGAAAAUCUUUUCAAAACAUGUAUAUGAUGAAAAAUGUGUAUCUCAAAUAUACAAAUAAGUCUUAGGCUGGGGAGGUAUAUUAGUGGUAGAGCCCUUGCCUAGCAUCCACAAAGCCCUGGGUUCCAUCCCCACUAUCAAAACAACAUCCUACCAGUUUAAAGAUAGUGAAAUAUUGGAAUAACACCUAACCUCUCAAAAAAAGACACACAGGUGUCAAAUAUGUAGACAGAAAGAUAUUCAACAUCACAUGUCACUAAAGAAUUGCAAGUUAAAAUAGUGGUGGCUACCACUUCACUCUUAAAGUGGCUAAAACCCUAAACACUGACGAUACCAAAUGUUGAAGAGAAUGUGGAGUAACAGGAAUGCAAAUGGCACAGCCACUGUGGAAGAUUGUUUGGCAGUUUCUUAUAAAGCGAAAAGUUCAGGUAACCCUAAACAUAUAGGCUUACCACAUGAUCUAACAAUCAUACUCUUAGGUAUUUGUCAAAAUGAUUUGAAAGCGUUGCUAACACAAAAACCUAUGCACAAAUGUUAUAGCAGCUUCAUUCAUAGUUGCUUAUAAUUAGAAGCAACCAAGAUAUUCUACAAUAGGUGAAUAAAUAAACAAACUGUGGGAUGUAAAUACAAUGGACUCUUCAUCAAUAAAGAGAAAGAUGCCAUCAAGCCCCAAGAAAUCAUGGAAGAAACUUAGGUAUGUGUUAAGUGAAAGAGCCUGUCUGUAAAGGCUACAUGCUGUAUGAUUGAACUAUAUGUCAGUCUGCACAGGGCAAAGCUAGAGGGACAGUAAAGAUCAGUGGUUACUAGUGGUGUUUAGGGGAGAGUGAAAGGGACAACUACAUGGAGCACAGGCCAUUUUUAAGGUGACAGAAUUAUUCUGUAUGAUACUAGAACAGCAAAUGCAGGGCACCAUGCAUUUGUCAAUAUCCAUAAAAUUAUACAACAUAGAAUGAACCCUAACAUAAACCAUGGGUUAUAGUUAAUGAUGUGUUGAUACUGGUUCAUCAAUGUAACAAAUGUACCCCAAUAAUGCAAGAUAUUAACAGUAGGGGAAACUGUGUAUUGUGGGGGUUAGAGUACAAGGGAUAGAUGGAACCUUUAUACUUUCCUGCUGUAAGUUUCUGCAACUCUAAUACUGUCUUAAUAAUGUCUGUUAAAAUUUAAAAGUAAUUAACAUAUUUGGAUGUAAUUGCAGCUGAUAAUAAUAGAGUAUCUCAGGAUACUUCUAGUUAAUACUUAUUAUCCUGGUAUCCCAUCUGGAUUAAUAUUUGUGCCUCUCAAAAGUAUACUGAGUUGGAUGAUCACUUAUAUGGUCACCUCAGACAAAAG
rnacentral:lncRNA from 1 species